CAAGGUAAGGGUGAAACGGUGCGUUAAGAGCGCACCAGCACCGUCAGUGAUGGCGGUGGCUGGGUAAACCCCACCGGGAGCAAGGCAUCACGGCCCCGCCACGUUGCGGGGCCCGAUCAGGCGUUUUAAGGCUGCUCGCUCGAGCCUGAAGGUAGCUGCUGGAACCAACUGGCAACGGUUGGUCUAGAUGGAUGUUCACCGCGCGGUGCUUCCCAGGGAGUGCCGCGGUUAGACAGAAUCCGGCUUAUAGGCCGACUCAUUCG
rnacentral:RNase_P_RNA from 1 species